CCUACGGGGGGCUGCAGUGGGGAAUAUUGCACAAUGGGCGCAAGCCUGAUGCAGCCAUGCCGCGUGUGUGAAGAAGGCCUUCGGGUUGUAAAGCACUUUCAGCGGGGAGGAAGGCGGUGAGGUUAAUAACCUCAUCGAUUGACGUUACCCGCAGAAGAAGCACCGGCUAACUCCGUCCCAGUAGCCGCGGUAAUACGGAGGGUGCAAGCGUUAAUCGGAAUUACUGGGCGUAAAGCGCACGCAGGCGGUCUGUCAAGUCGGAUGUGAAAUCCCCGGGCUCAACCUGGGAACUGCAUUCGAAACUGGCAGGCUAGAGUCUUGUAGAGGGGGGUAGAAUUCCAGGUGUAGCGGUGAAAUGCGUAGAGAUCUGGAGGAAUACCGGUGGCGAAGGCGGCCCCCUGGACAAAGACUGACGCUCAGGUGCGAAAGCGUGGGGAGCAAACAGGAUUAAUACCCUUGUAGUC
rnacentral:rRNA from 1 species